rnacentral:rRNA from 1 species
UACGUAGGCAGCAAGCGUUGUUCGGAAUUACUGGGCGUAAAGGGUGCGUAGGCGGCGCUCUAAGUUUGGUGUGAAAUCUCCCGGCUUAACUGGGAGGGUGCACUGAAAACUGGGGCGCUCGAGUAUGGGAGAGGAAAGCGGAAUUCCUGGUGUAGCGGUGAAAUGCGUAGAGAUCAGGAGGAACACCUGCGGUGUAGACGGCUUUCUGGACCAUAACUGACGCUGAGGCACGAAAGCGUGGGUAGCAAACAGG